AGCGAACGCUGGCGGCAGGCUUAACACAUGCAAGUCGAGCGGGCGUAGCAAUACGUCAGCGGCAGACGGGUGAGUAACGCGUGGGAACGUACCUUUUGGUUCGGAACAACCCAGGGAAACUUGGGCUAAUACCGGAUAAGCCCUUACGGGGAAAGAUUUAUCGCCAAAAGAUCGGCCCGCGUCUGAUUAGCUUGUUGGUGAGGUAACGGCUCACCAAGGCGACGAUCAGUAGCUGGUCUGAGAGGAUGAUCAGCCACAUUGGGACUGAGACACGGCCCAGACUCCUACGGGAGGCAGCAGUGGGGAAUAUUGGACAAUGGGCGAAAGCCUGAUCCAGCAAUGCCGCGUGUGUGAAGAAGGCCUGCGGGUUGUAAAGCACUUUCAGUGGGGAAGGAAAAGACUUGGUGUGAAUAGCGCCGAGUCUUGA
rnacentral:rRNA from 1 species